rnacentral:misc_RNA from 1 species
CUCUGGACAGCCUCCCCCAGGCCCCAGCCCAAUCGAAGCAAUACAAAGAGUCCGCCUUCAACCAGCAAUUUACCAAAGCAGUAAGCCCCGCUCACCUUGGGCACACCGCGGAGGAGACUGCGGCGUCGUGUCACGCGAUGAAGGGUCCCAGGUGUCGGGGAAUUCCGGUCCAAGAAGGAGGCUGCUGCUGCUCCGCCGCCGCCGCCGCGGACUCCGCGUCCCCGCCAUGUCCUCCUCCGCCGCUGCAGUCUCUACAGCAUCGUGGAGCCUGCGCGCCGCCCUGGAGAACAAGGAUACGAAGGGACCAGAUUUCCGGCGUGCGGCUGCGACGGCAAGAACGGCGGCGGCGGCGCCACCCAU